CUCUAAGUCCAAUGGUUCUGGAAACGCACGACUGCCACCUAGCGACCUCUACUCACUUCUGCAUCGUCGUACCCUAUCAUCCUAACAAGCCUGACCUCAACCAAGACCCAUCUGGGGCUCUACUUCCCUCGAUCCUUUAAUCCCUUUACAUAGCCCACCCUACCCCAUCCCCAGCCCCACCCCUCUGCCAUCUUCACCCUCACCCCCGUCAUUCAGAAACAGUUGGGGCCCCGGACCUUUUAUUUCACUCUUCGUAGAUCCUCAAACUGAUGGUUCCUGCUCUAGCCAGUCUCUUUACAAAGCGCAGCCUUCUCUCCACAUGUCCACUGCACAUCAUUGUGGUUUCAUGUAAAAAUCAUGUCAUUUUACUCAACAUGUGUGGAGUCUCAUUCUCCAAAAGAGGAAAACCUACAUUCAAAUCUCACCUGAUACAUAUUGGCCAUAAGCCUAACUCACAAUUUAUAUGCUUCAGGAAAUUUUCUAAGACUAAAGUUGAAGAGGAAGUGCUAACUUGCAGUGAGUUUCCUCAUCUGGAAGCAGCUCAGAAGUGCAGCUUCUAUCUCUAUAUGCAAAGUACCAUUAAGACGCCAAACGUAGGGGCAGCUAGGUGGAUAAAAGUAUCAGCCCUGAAGUCAGAAGACCUGAGCUUCAAAUCAACACUUCCUGGCCUUGUGACCCUGAGCAAGUCAUUUAACCCCAACUGCCCCAGCACACAAACACAAAAAUACAAAGGUCAGGACAUGCAUGUUCACCAGAUGGAAGAAUCUGAGAUAAAUUACAUUUAAGGUCAACUACAUUUUAAAUUGCUGCAAAGUGCUGAGUGCAAGCAUAAGGACUGGUUAUAGUUGGGA